CGAAUCGCAAGGUGAGGGACAGACGGGAGCCAAUGAGAAGAACCGUGGGGCACGCAGCCGCCAAUCAGGAGGGCUAGGUGUGAGUUAUCAGUACUGCUGCCUUCUGUACUUUCUGGCACGGCCACUGCUCUAGCAGCCUCUUCUGACCAGUGAUUGCAUUACACUUUGGGAUACCACAGCUCAGUAAAAACAAGACUAUGAGUCAGCCAUCCAAGGUCAUUGAAAGAGUUGUGAUAGAAGCUACAGUCUUUGUUCAGAGAGAUGUAUGGGAAUCAAUGCUGACAAAGUGAGCAGAUGGGGAAACUCAGGCACAAAGCAAUUAAAUGACUUGACAAGAUCACAAAGAAGGUCAGUGACAAAAUAGGAUUACAAUACUUCUCCUUACUGUCAGUUACUCUCUAAGCAAGAGACACAUUGGGUCUCAUGAAAGGGAAAUUUCAAAAAGACUUUUGCCAGCAAUUUUCCUCCUCCUGUCAAGUGAACGGAGCUGAUGUAUAAACUUGGGUCUUUCUUGUAAAUAACAGAAGAAAAUAAUGUGAAUAAGAAAUAAAAAGUGU